AUAAAUUCGAUGACGAGAACGAGUAAUUAUAGAUCCCUGAUCUACAGAGAGUUGAUGCUUUGGUGAAAGUCAACGAUUAGGACUGUAGUGAAAAUCCUCUCCGAGAAGCAAAGCUGAGGUGAAAACUAAGCUUUGACGGGAUUCUGCCGUUAAAAAGAACGCGUAUGUUGGUACGUUGUAUGAGCGCUGUAAAUGAGUAAUUACGUGAUUCAUUUGCAGAAGCAGGGUGGUAUCGCGGGUAAAACUCGUCCCUACA
rnacentral:ncRNA from 1 species